rnacentral:rRNA from 1 species
UUGAACGCUGGCGGUAGGCCUAACACAUGCAAGUCGAACGGCAGCACAGAGGAGCUUGCUCCUUGGGUGGCGAGUGGCGGACGGGUGAGGAAUACAUCGGAAUCUACCCUGUCGUGGGGGAUAACGUAGGGAAACUUACGCCAAUACCGCAUACGACCUUCGGGUGAAAGUGGGGGAUCGCAAGACCUCACGCGAUUGGAUGAGCCGAUGUCGGAUUAGCUAGUUGGCGGGGUAAAGGCCCACCAAGGCGACGAUCCGUAGCUGGUCUGGGAGGAGGAGCAGCAAAACUGGAACUGAGAAACGGUCCAGACUCCGACGGAGGGCAGCAGUGGGGAAUAUUGGACAAUGGGCGCAAGCCUGCUCCAGCCAUACCGCGUGGGUGAAGAAGGCCUUCGGGUUGUAAAGCCCUUUUGUUGGGAAAGAAAAGCGACCGGCUAAUACCCGGUUGUCCUGACGGUACCCAAAGAAUAAGCACCGGCUAACUUCGUGCCAGCAGCCGCCGCAGUAA